AGACAGCAGUAGCCACGGGAAUACAUAGGGUGCGAGCGUUAAUCGGAAUUACUGGGCGUAAAGCGUGCGCAGGCGGUUGUAUAAGACAGAUGUGAAAUCCCCGGGCUCAACCUGGGACCUGCAUUUGUGACUGUAUAGCUAGAGUACGGUAGAGGGGGAUGGAAUUCCGCGUGUAGCAGUGAAAUGCGUAGAUAUGCGGAGGAACACCGAUGGCGAAGGCAAUACCCUGGACCUGUACUGACGCUCAUGCACGAAAGCGUGGGGAGCAAACAGGAUUAGAUACCCGCGUAGUCCCUGUCUCUUAUAC
rnacentral:rRNA from 1 species